ACACUUUGGAUAGCCUGUCAAAAGUGGGUAAGGACACAUCUGACAAUUACAGAAGACUCAUGCACAGCCUGAACAUCCCAUGUGUAGUUCAUCCAUUGUUUCAGCUGCAUGCUUGGUGGUGAAAAAUCUUUCUAAAAGUUUUGAGCUCCUACUUUGAGCAUAAUGCUUUCUGACUUCUAUGAUCUUAAUUUCAUCACCCUCUGAGCCUGUAGGGACGGCCUUCCAUGCAUCACACUUACCCUUCAAGAGAAUCAGAUAGGGGUGGCCAUGCUGCUCUGAUUGAAUGGUCAGUGGUGUCUGAACCACAACCUAGAAGAUGCUGAUGGAGCGUUGAGACCUCCCUUGCGUGGUCCUGCAGUGUGGGAGUGCUCUGACCCCAGGACUCAGGUGUGACCACCAUUUGCUAUCUGUGUUCUCUCUGAGACUGGUCCACACAGGAGAGGCAUGGGCUGCAGAAGUAACAGAACUUCUUGGACAGGGUCCCUUCAGGCCUUCAUUUUCAGCCAGGAGGCAGAGCUGAACCUCAGACAUUUGUGUACCUUCCCAGACAGUGGAAAGCUUGCCUCCAAGGAAUGCUCUGACCCCUGGGACUCAGGAGAGUUCUGGUCUCCCAGGAAUGCUCAUAGAGACUAUCAGACUCACAGGAUGAACAAGCUCCAGCCAGAGACACCUAGAACAUCUAACACCAGGGAUUACA